AGCCAUAAAUAAGGUUGACACCAAGCUAAGUAGUAGUGCCGCAGGUGAAUGGUUUAUUCAAAUUACCUGCACUCUGCUGCUUAACUUGGAUUCAUCCGUGCAUCCAUC
rnacentral:pre_miRNA from 19 species